rnacentral:rRNA from 1 species
CACGUAGGGGGCGAGCGUUGUCCGGAUUUAUUGGGCGUAAAGAGCUCGUAGGCGGCUCGGUAAGUCAGGUGUGAAAUUUCGAGGCUCAACCUCGAAACGCCACCUGAUACUGCUGUGGCUUGAGUCCGGUAGGGGAGCGUGGAAUUCCUGGUGUAGCGGUGAAAUGCGCAGAUAUCAGGAGGAACACCAGCGGCGAAGGCGGCGCUCUGGGCCGGUACUGACGCUGAGGAGCGAAAGCGUGGGGAUCAAACAGG